UUUCUGUUUCAAGUGCCAGACGGUCGUCCCGGCCCGCGUGGCUCAGUUGGUUGGAGCGGCGUCCCUAGACGGGAAGGCUGCGGGUUCAGUUCCUGGGCAUCUUGACAUGUGUCCCCAUUGUGAAGUUUCCUCUGUAGUGCUUUUUAUUCGGAAAGAGCCUCUUUAAAGGACAAUAUGAAAACAGCUUCUUCACACUGGUUCCAGUGAGAAAUGGAUACAAACACUGGUCACUCGUGGUUAGUGGAAUAUUGAUGUUGCUGCUUCCACA